rnacentral:lncRNA from 1 species
UGGCGUUUUGGUUGAGGUUUGUUUAUGGCUCCUCAGACCGCUGUGUAUUGCUAUCCUGCGGUUGUUACUGAAGUUUGUAUAACUAGAGAAGCAAGCAGUCGGCAACAUUCAUGUCUCGAGGCGGUGUCUAACUCGGUGUUACAGUGUGUUUGACCCUAAAUUAAUUUUAUGCUGGAAUAUCCCUUUAAGGAGAGUCUGAGCAAAUCUCAAAUUGAUCUCGCUGAAUUCUCACAUGACUUUCUAAACCAGGUUGUAAUGUAUAUGACUUUGUGCACACUUAUAUUUUUGUAUUUUCAAUAAAGACCAUGUGAGGCGUUUUUAGCUGUUUAAAAAACAGGCUGAAAAUAACUGAAAUUCCACUUUAUGAUCCAUAAGGGCAGAGGCGGUCAUCAGCAAACUGUAAGGAGAACUUUAUUUAUCUCCGAGGGGGAAUUCAAUACCGUACUCUUAAUCCCUGUAACCCCUGAAACGGGGUGGGAGUCAGAAAAGACAAUUUGUCAGUAUGCUGAAGAAGCAGCUUUAUUUAAUAUCUUUGGCUGUUAAAGCAAACCAGUAGCAAUGUUUUUAUCAGAAACAUGACCUAAAGGAUAGAAUCAGCAAGAAAUUAAAAGGUAUUGCUUUGUCUACAUGGGGCGGCAAAAUCAACAAGAAUGGGGAAAUUCCUCACGGGAGCUUUAACUACAAAACAGAAUAAUAUUUAAUGGUGUUGAAGUGAAUAGAAUCAUAAAUAACAGGAGUUCAUUAAAAGGUAAUUUCAGGCGUCUUGUAACUUGAGCUCUGCAGUAGGUGAGAGAUGGUUGUGGUCUGUUAUCUCAAACUUCCUUGGUUCUGGGCUUUGUGUACACUCCCUCGAGGGGAAAGCCUAAAGAGCCAAGAACUCGGAGAAAGAGGGAUGAGAGACCGAUAGAUAAGAGGUUAAUUAAUCAUCCUUCUCCAUGCAUUGAGUAGUUUAUCUGUUCCUUUAUAGAGAAACAAAUAGAGGCAAUGGGAUUUGAAAGAAUAUGAAUAUUGAUUUUUGUACCAUGAAACACUGAGAUGAAACACGUCUGGAGUGAAACAACUGUGGUGGAUGAGUUAUUCUGCUUUCUGCCAAAGUGCUGAAGGACCACAGCUUACGGGGGAGCACUUGGAGAGCCUUUCUCUCGCCUCAAGCACCAGUUGGCGGAGGGCAGGUGACCGAGGUUACAAAGAAAACAUGGUGGGUGGAGUACACAUGAUACAGAGGACUGUGGGGAGCACUUCCACUGGAGAAAAUGUGAUAAAAGGUCCGCAGGGGUACCUCACUGUUUGGAGAAACUUGAUGAAGGGUCCUCUGAGGGUGGAGAAAAUUGAAUGUGUGGGCUGACAUACAUACAGCAAUUAAUAAUCAUCUUGAGAUAAACUUUUAGUCACAUGAUAAAUCAGUCAAUAUGUUAUUUUUAGUGCAGUUUUCUGCUAUAGAUUAAUGGGUGGGUGAGUCAGACGGUAAAAGGACGAGGACUUGGGUUGAACUCCCCUGUUGAUAACCGUACCCUAUGUGUAUGGGCCGCACAGUUCCAGAAAUAUUUCUAAUCUUAACCAUGAUUUCAGAAAGUUUCAUCAUCAGUGCAUCAAAUAUUUCUGCCACAACGCUGUCUUUCAGGUGUCCCACUGCUUGUGCCCUUGAGUGUAACAAUGACAAACACACAGACAUCAGCGUUUAACUUGUGAGACCAGGCAGGUAAAGGUGCCCCCGAACACAAACAAAAGCAUGGACAGAAUCAGAAAAAAAAACUGAGUCAUGUAAACUGACAUCAAGAGCCUGAUAGGGUCAUAUUCAGGGGAAAAAAACAGAGUCUGGUUCUCGUCUGUCUUAUUCUCUUAUUCAGGUUGAUUGACAGCAUGUGACAGGAUGUGCCAACAACAGCGGCUCUGGAGCAGCAGUUUACAUUCACAACACUUUCAGGCAAGAAAUAUAAAAAUUUAACUUUUAGGGUUGUCACAUGCAGGAACACAAGAGAUUUGAAAUUUAAAAAUGUGUUUAGGUUUCUCGCAAGGGUUAGGAUUAACACUGUGAACUCCGCUGGAUUGUCAGCGAUCCCACGUGACACCAUUAAUAUUGUUUACAGUUUCUCGGGAACGACACUGUGUAUCUAUAUGGGAUGAAAAGUGUUCAAAAGCUUACCCUUUUAGCGAUCUAUCGAGGGUUUCCAGGCAUUUCUACACCUCCCACAAGGUUUACAAUCCAGCCAAAAAAGUAGGUGUUUGAUCAGAGACGUUUGAUAGUAAAUCCGCAGUAAUAUUCCGGUGAAAACAUGAUUAUUUAUCAUAUUGCUGUGAUCAAAAAAGAUCGCUAUCACAAGAUGCCGCUAAUUUCUUCUGAGUUUGACAAGCUGUUUUUGUGACACCUUUUUCUGUCAAACUUUCAACCAAUUACAUAGGCUCAUAUUCUUCUUCUAUUGUUCCCUUGACGGUAGUGUCCAAUAAGAGGCAACCAAAGAUCAACAAGAGACAAGAGAGUUCCCUGCUUGUCUGCAAAAUAAGAAAUAGUGGUCCUCAAUGCUUUGAAACAGGCAAAGAAGAGAUUAUGAGCAGUAUGAUGUGGCCCUCUGUCUCAUCCCAGACAGGAACUGCUUUAAGCUGGGGCAUAAACAACUGUAAAUAACAAAAAAACGCCUGCAAGAAUUGGUGUAAAUAUGGAAAUAGUUUCUGUUGUGUGUUUGUUCCAAUCCCAAUAUUUCUUUUCUUGAUAGUCAAGACUUAACAGAAUGAUGUGCAGGUGAGAAAAAGCUUGGUUACUGUAGAUUUAUGUGUGUUUUUGAGCGAAGUACUGUUGGUAUCAAUUUCUGUUUUGGUUUUUUGAUUGAUUUUGGUGGUUCUGAAUCUACUGUCACAUUCAUUUUAUUUAAAUUUUGCACCCAUAAACUGACAGCUGAGGUUGUCCUGAAAAAGAAAAAUAUAUUUGCUGUGCUUGAAAGGAUAGAGUUGCUACAUAGAUUUUUACAAAAAGGAAAAAAAAAAUGCAGACCAAAAUAUAGCUGGGAGUUCAAAGGGUUAAUAUUCAGCUCAACAUUCAGUUGUGUAUCCUCCGUUCCUGAAGGUCAAAAAAACUUGCGAAACCUGGAACACUUUUCUCAUUGAAAGAGAGAAAAAAACACUAGAAAAACACUAGAAUUUUCACACUAGAAGUGCAAAACUAUCGAUAAUUUUUCUAAGCUGCAGCUGGCUCUUUACACAUCAUAUAAUUAGUUCCAUUAAAUCAACACCUGCAAUCCGUUGCACAGCUGGAGAUCCUCAAUUUCUCACGAUAAAGGUGUAAUAACACCCCUUCUUCACGAUUAUGGAUAAUUGUGACGUCCUAUGCAGUCUGGCCAUAAUUGCAUUUGAUUGCGCUAACUAUUUCACUAUUUUUUUCGUGGCAGAACGACCCUCCAUUAAAGCAACAAUCGAACCAAAGAAUAUGCCUCAAGCAUCAGUUGAAGGAUAUUCAAAGUAGAAUGAGGGACCACAACAUUAGUAGAGAGGAUUAAACGACUCAAUUUUGUAACAAUGAAUUCUAAAAAUAUCCUGAUCUAAUAUUAUCUGAAUCAUUUCUGCCCAAUUAUUUCCAUUUUUUGAAGUUUUCUCCUGAAACCUGGCAAGGAGCUCUGGCUUUCCGUUGCAUGUUUGAUGCCGGCGCACAGCAAGGAUCAUAAACACAGUGCGGGGGUUAAAAGUUCAACACUCACAGCGCACUGUCUUGUCCUAUUAUCAUCAAUACCUGACGCGAGCAGCUGUGAGGCUCGAGACAGAACAUGCAUCUGUUCUAUUUUCAAACUUCAACACUCUUGAUGCUCAAGAAAAGCGGCACUCUCUUUUCACACAUUCCCUUGACUGUCACAUCCAGGUUACUGUACCAUAACUUCUUCUUUCGUGGGAACAACUUCUCCUCAGCGGUGAUGUAGUGGUUGUCUUGCUGUCGCACUUGACAGAAUCAAGUACCAUUUUUUUCUAUUCUUUCAAAAAGCUACGAAACAAAAAGACCCUUCACAGCAUAAAUAAGGUUAGGGAUAAUUAGACAUAAUUGAGUGUAAGCAGACUCCGCUGUUUCAUGUAUAGUUUCCUUAUUUUAAUUUUGCAUUGAAGAGGCAAAAAAGCCUCUCCUGAACACAGUAUUAUCCUGCCUUUACUGUGAUAUCCUACGCUAGCUUCAAAUAGGAUUCAUCAUGUCAGAUUGCUAGUGACCAGCGGCAGUAAACGCCAGCUCUGCUAGCGAGCACCGUCUGCAGCUGCCUGGACAGCUACCGCGUUGACAUUGCAGAGACUAAUAAGAGUUAUUGAUGUAACAUGUGCCACGAUAAAAGGCAAAAAUUACCUGUUCAACAAAAACUCUGCUGUCUCAGCAUCUGUUUUCAGACCCAAAUCCUGUCGGCGCUUUCUCCACCGCUCGAAGGAUGACCCGAUGUUUAUUCGUUAUUUAUUUUAUUCGUUUGUUAGAUUCCUUGCUUGGUCACAUUUCCUCUUCGUCUCUGCCCUUUCUUCUGUCCGCUUGCGUUUUCUUAGCACCUCUAGUGGUGGGGCAAGCAGAAGUGUUUUUUUUUUCCAUCCUUCUCCAUCACAGCUCCUGUAGCUAAGUUGCUACGCUACUUUUAGCUGCUCAGAUCUCCGAGGAGGGCUGGGAGAGUGGGAGGGGAUGAGUUAGAACCACAGGAGAGGGGUGUGUCGAAUACAGCGAGGUGAUUGGAUGGAGAGGCAGAGCAGGAGAUUGACCAAUAGGAGCUGUCUGGGACGGAUGGCUCCUAUUGGUCAAUGUUUUUGCAGUUGUAAUAUUUGCAGUUUUAUACAACUGCCAUGAAGCUCCCUGCAAACAAGACUUAGGACACAAGUACUGUUUAAACAACCUUACUAAGACUUUUGGUACAAGUACAAAAUACUCUGGCAUAUUUUACCUGUCUUUGGUGCUCAGUAUGAUCCUGAAAGUGUUGCUCGACCAAAUAAGUAAGUAAGUGCAGUGUAAUAUAUUCUAAAUCAAACUAAAACUACAAAUGUGUGCCCCCCAGGUCCAAGGGAAAUGUCAAACUCAGACUAAUCAAGUUUCUCAGCACUUAUACAUUCGUUCUCCUGGACAUUUCUUCACUCUGAGUAAUGAAAUCACAGCAGAUUUUUAUUGAAAUGCAAUGUGAUCAACCCCUCCCUACAAGCAACCGGAGCAAAAAUUACGUUUGCGAGCUUGCCUUGUAGGAAGUGUUAGUAACUGAUGCAAUAAUAUUUGACAAAAAACUGUAAAUCUCUGCAGGGAAAUAAAACAGGCAAGAACUAAGAGGAGGGAGUACAGAUGAGUAUUUGCAGGCUGAAAUUCAUCUGUAGAUAAAAUAGAAUUAUGUGUAAUAUUGAGCGGCCAUAGUGGAUUGUUUGGCUACAAGUCUACAUUCAAUUUGUAUGCAUAUGUAUAACUAUAAUUAUUAUCACUGACAUAUGGUAUAUAUGAGCUGUGGCUCAAAAGCAGUUAGAUACUUUAUAGCUCCACUUUUUCACUCUGAUGGUGUUAUUCGUUUUAUAUACUGAGCUCAUUAUCUGGAGGUAUCCAAAUGUAAGGGCAAUGUAAGGACAGCCUCCCUCCUCUUCAUGCAUGAUUUAGCACACAAAUUAUGAAGCUAUGGAGGCCCAGAGACGCUACAGACACUCCCCGAAGCUCAGCUGUGAUUGUGCCAGAGAGUCUUUGUGAUCUUUUAUCCCCUUCUCGUGAAAUGUCCUACAUACGAAGACUUGGGAACUCUGGAAGUAGCCCCUCUGUCUCUGUGACUUUAAAGUCUCAGUCAAGGUAGAGGCUGAUGAAACUACUGGGAGUUAUUAUUACUUUAAAUAAGCUGGUUUCCUAUGAUUCCUGUUCCACUGUGGCUACUAGACCCACACCCACAUACUCUGUCCUUGGCUGUGUGUCUCUCUGUGCUUUCCCUCUGCAGGAUUACAGGACAGCGGAAAAAAAAACUUUUCAAAAUGUGACACCUCCGGGGGUUAGUGGAGCAUUUUCCUCAUUUAUUUUGGUUUCCAUGGAUUUUAGUUCUGCACAGUUUGAUUUUUGGAUACAGUGGCAGGAAGCAAAAGGGAUGUUCUUUUUCUGUUUCUGGCUCUACAGUUUCUUUUAUUUAUAUUUGUUCGUUAAUGGAAAUUACAGUAAAAUAACCAGCAAUUUCUCUUCAAUAGACUGGUAAUGAAAAUCGAAAGUCCCCUUCCUAGAAAUAGUCAUGACCUCACUGAGAGCAGAUGGAUGAGUGGUCCCAGUAGGGGUUUGUGUCACAGUAAAAUGGACAUUUUUUUUUUGUUCACUGUAUUCAACUUCCUCCCAACUCCUUAUAAAAUGCUCUCGUCUCUGUCAUGUUUUUAUGCUAAAAGAAACUCCAUAAUGUGUAUAUUUAAAAACAGAUUUAACAGAUUACUAAUGUUUUAACUGAGGAGGGUUUUAUAAAUCAAUAUUUGGUGAAAUUACCAUUAUUUUUAAUUACAGCUUUCAUGUGUCUAAUCAUGCUCUCCACCACUUUUCACUCUGCUGGUGGGUGAUGUUAUGUUGCUCUUUCCACAAAAUGAAAGUAGCCGUCACAUCUGUCCAGCAGCCUUUACUGACUUGUGACUUCCUGCUCUUUUGAACCAUAUAUCUGUAUUUACUUGAUGUCAGUAUUUAGUGGUGUUAUUGGGCGGUGCCUCCACCCACCUUCUUUUCCAUUAUUGCAGGACCUGUGCCCCUAUGGGUUGCAGUGUGAGUUAAUUUUAAAGAAAUAUGAGGAAAAAAAGCUGGUAAGUUAUUCAAAUUCAACUUUAUAUUUCUGGCACUUUUCAGACAAAAAUGUAGUUCAAAGUGCCUCACAGAGGCUAAAAACAACAAUUAAACAACAAUGAAAUCCAACCCUCCCACCCACACUCACCCACACAUACACACACACAAGCGCACACAGAGUGAGAAUUCAAGAUAUAUUGUUAAAGAGACAUGGCCUUACACCGAGACAUUGCAUGAGGAAAGAGCUACAUUUGGGAAAUACUGGAGAUAAAAGACAAUUAAUAGAUAGAUAGAUAGAUAGAUAGAUGGUAAAAAGAAAGACUAAAACCUGAUGGACUAAAACAAGUAAAUUAAAUAAAAUGAACAAAUAAGUAAGACAUUCGCAAUAAGAAAAAUAUGAAGAGUUUAGCUAAUAAUGCAAACAAAGGGGUCACUUUUGAGUAGUUCUUUUUAAGACAUUUGAAUCUUUAUAUUAUUCAGAGAAGUAUCAUGGUUGCCAAGGAAAGUAAUCAUCCCUUACAAUUUGUAUCUCAUUUGCAAUGCAAUUAUCCGUCAACUAUCGUCAUCAAAAUGUAAACACAACACAGCCACCUCACUCUCACUCUCACUAAAUUUCAUGCCUGCUUUCUUAAAUGAGACAAGUCAGAUGCUUCUUUUUUUUUUAAUUUAAAUUACAGAUUUAGGGAGGAUUUGCAUUAGCAGCAUCACUCAUUGCCAAAGAAAAAGUCAAAAAUAGAAUGAGAGUGUUUCCUAGCAACAAUUCUCCAGCCAUUUUAAUAGCUUUAAGCAAACUCUUGUUUGACACUCUUUGCUGAACUACAGACUUGUUGCGGGGCACUUUUAAGAGAUGCACUUUCUUUGGACAACAAUCUUAAAUCACUGUGACAAAUGGUCAAAACGGUAAAUGCAAGGGCUCAUUUUUGUCCAAUGUUUUCAUUGAUGCAGAGGAUAAACAGCUGGUUUAUUAGUUUUAAAGUAGGCUGAAAGAGUUAAAUUCAUAUAUGAAAAACUUUGUUCCAAGUUAGACCAGAAUAGCCUGUACAGAAUAUAUAAUUUGUUACUUUACUGAGUCAAUACAAACACAGUGUCCAGUCCAUCUGCAUCUUCAAAUGUGCUCAUAAGGCUCUUCUCCUCUCUUACACAUUUUCUUGGACACUAGGGCGAUGACUCUCAUCACAGCUGACAUACAAGUGAUUGCGUGGAGUACCAGCAGCAAGACCAGCAUCUGACAAGGAAAUCCACACCAAGACUUUAACCUAAAAAAGAAAACAUGGGUAUUUUUCCAACAUGGGAACUUUUAAAGGGAUACUCCGGCACAAAAUUAAGUCAAACACACUGUAACACAGAGUUAGACACCACGUCGAGAGAUAUAUGUUGUUGACUGCUUGCUUCUCUAGUUAUACCAACUUUAGUAGAGAGAGCCAUGCGCUCACCCAAAAAGCCACUUUAUAGCCACAGCUAAUGCUCAGAACAGCACCUAACUUCAUCAACAGUACAUAUAGGAUCCCAGCCACAGUACUAGCCACCAAACAUCUUUUUAGCUUUACCUGAUAUCUUUAGCAAAGAGACCAAACACAACUCACCCUCUCUCUUCCAGCAGCUGCUUGUUUGUACAGAGACCUCUGAGCGAGUCCCUUAAAUGCAGCGGGGUGACGCAGCUCAAGGAAGAACAUUUAUGAUCAUUACUUUAUCAUUUCCUUGAAGUAAUAAUCACCAUAUUUAUCAUAUUUAUCAUUUUGCACUGCACACACGGUAGUUCUUCUGCCUUAGCGUCUCGGUGCAUUUCCAUGAAGAAACGUCAGCAUUUUCAUUGAAAAAAUCUUGACAGAGUGUUUCAGAAAUAUCCUCAUCUUGAGAGCGCUUUUAGGCGAUUUACCGUUGAGGUCAGCUAAAACACCAUUUCGGUCAUCAUUAGAAAACAAACUUUGUUAUAUCGAGAUAUAAGUCGUCAUAAUGAGAUAACAGUGCAUAAAAAGGAAAAAUCCAUGGCCAUUCUCGGCUUCCAUAUUUAAGUGAAGUCAAGCUGGAAAACAUAAAGCACGGAUAUACACCAGGACCUAAAGAACAGUAGCUUCUCAUCCCAAUGCAGCUCGUAUUGUUUUUGUUGACUGAUUGGCUUUCAUCAAAGCUAGCUGGACCUCAGUUUAAUCCGUUGUGUGUUUCUUUAUCUGGUUGGAUUGCUUGUAAUGUUUGCCUGAAUUUAGACCAGCUGUGUGCAUGCUGUGCCCCUCAGGGACAGAGCCGGUUUGAGCUUCACUCUUUUUAAUUGGUUGUCUGUUUUGGCAAUUUGAAGCAUAUAUUUUGUUGACCGGGUCUAAAAGAGCUUUUUGAUGCUUUUAUCUUCCUUUAUUUAUCCUGUAUAAUGAUGGAUUUAAAGGAAUAAAGGGACUAUGUUGGGGCUGUGAAAGCCACGUGUGCCUUACAUGCAGUUGUUUUGAUGGUAAUGUUGAUAUUUGUGUAAAAAUGUAACUACCUUUUACAGUUUUUAUGUCAAACAAGAUCAGAUAAAUAGAUGAGUCAGUCUAUCUGUUUGUCAAGGUCAGAAAAUGUUAGAUGACACAGAAUUGUGAUUGAACAGUACCCUAAAAGGCACUUCAUGUCACAUGGCCUCGAGCAUUUUAACUUGUUUGAUUUUUUUUCCUUUUUUCAACAUUUAUGUAACGUUCAUGUGCACCUUUUUUUGUAUCCGUGUAAUCCAAACACUGUUAAUUUGCUGGCUAAAUUGACAAAAAGAUCAAAUUAAAUUUUUAUCAGUAUUCAUGUCCAACAAUGAAUACACAUCAGUUAUUCUUUGCCUUGUAGAGCAGUAGGCACACUGAGUUCAAAGCAGUGUUCAUUCAUCCUUGUUAGAAAUGUGGAACUAAACCAAAUUUAAAGGCCGCUUAAAGCAAUCACUUAAUCUUUUGAUAAGGCUGUGAAAUCCUUGAUAGUAAUAACUGAUGUGUGUGAUAGGAUGAGUGCAGCGAAGUUGAUUUUUGAUAAAGUUUCAUUUUAAAUCUUAUGCAACAGCUGCUACAUCACUUUGAUGAUUCAUUUUAAAUUUUUUGUUGUCAUUAUUUAACGAUCAUCAUCAUUAUUCAACAUUUAUAUUGAAGAGCAAGAUAAAAAUGUGAUUGUGAUAAUGAAAUUUCAUAUACUUGAAAACCCAGGGAAACUACCGUGUUUAUUUUCCUGGUUUUCAUUUUUCUGUACGGUGUAAGAGUUGUCAUUAGGUGACAGUGAUGCUGUGGUGUAGAUGAUUUGUACAUGAUUCAGUAUCUCCAAGGUAAAUGUACAACAUGAAGAGAAUCUGUGUUGGAUUUUCACAAUUCUCUAAGCACCUGCGGCGAACAAGUCAAACACUGUAAAUAAAAUUAAUGUUUUAAUGUAAAUUCACCUGCAGAACAUUCCAACCUGGCACGCUCCACUGAAGUGACUCGAGUUUAAAAUGAAAUGUGAAUGAUAAAAUGUGCUCAGAUAGAUGCACACAUGUUCAUACGUGUGCACACGGGGGAUUGGUUGCAUUGUUGCUCUCGCAGUUGUCUUGCCCACUGAGAGACAGGAGGACAGAAAUGAGAGAUGGCCCCUGAGGAUGUGGGCUCUGAUUUAUGUGAUGUUGUAGCUUGAUUGCUCUCAAACAAGUUGCAAUUCAGCGUCUGACAGCCCCAUUCCAGUUCAGUAUAGAAUCACAGUCUGUGUUGUGUGUAUGUGUUUGGUGUAUGUGUAUGGUUCGUGUGUGCUUUGAGUGUUCUGUCUCACUGGAAUAUACAUAAUCAAGAAGGCAGCCAUCAAUGGGACUCUACUUAUGUACGGGUUUUACCGUUCAAAAUUGAAUUUGAUUUUACACAACACCCCGAAGUAGCCCAGCCCUUUAACGCCUGAAAUCACAAAUUAUGGCCAGAAAAUGCAAGUUUUUUGGAGCUGAAAUGUUUAUUUGACUUACUUCUGAAAACCCCAAAAAUCAAAAUGUCCUUAGAAUUAAACAAAUAUAUUUGUUUAUCUCGUUUGAUACAUUAGAUGUUUUUGGAAACUGAUUAACCACAAGAGGACAUUUUUGUCAUUUAUCGGACUGUAUUCAGCUGUUUUAUGAUAAUUUGUUGAUCAUAUUGAUUUGAUAGAAGUAUCAUAAAAGUAUCAAAUAUGAUACAAAAGGUAUUAAAGGGCUAGAAAUACCUUUAGUGACAUGCACAUUGAUUUGCGGUUGCACCAUUGACUUUUGCCUUUUUCAAAUUCAUCCCCAGGUCUGAAAUAUAGUAUUUAUAUGUCAAACUGUUUUUAUGACGUGAUUGAAGGUUAUUAACUGUGGGCUACUAUUAUUAGGCUAGAGUUUAUGAUAUAACAUAAACUCCUACCUCUCUAUCCAAGCCUCAGUCAAUGACAAGUUAUAACUUCAUUUUUUUCUCGAAUAACUUCAGCAACUGGAUUAUUAAAAAGCCUUUUAACUCAAGCCCUCAUUAAAAUCCAGACAAUAAAGCGCACUGUGCGUUAUGCACUGUGGACUUGAUCGAGGCCAUAGAACAACUACUGGACAUAAUCUUUAGAUUGCUUUAGGCUGUAUUCGGCUACAUUUAACAACAAAACUACACCAAUAAACUAUACCAAUAAAUUAUAGUAACACCUUUAAAUUAAUGAAUCAGUAAAUGAAUCUAAGUAUUCAUUUGCUCAUGCACUGUAGGACAACACAUCACCGCCAACCUGCUGUACUGAUAGAGAGGGAGAGGAAGAGAGAUUCUUCUCAAUAUGAACUUUUACUUUUGUUUCCAGGCUGUGGAGCUGUCUAAACAUAUCUGUGAAUGUAUGUUUCAUUUAUUGUCAUAAUCCACGUAUUUUACCAUAUAAUACUGAAAGAGUGACAGACAGACAGACAGACAUCACUAUUUCAACAUUCAAACCCAUCUAGAAAGUCAGUUUGAACUGCAGAGUCCCUUCUUUUACUCAAUGUGGUGUGAAUUUUAACUCUGCUGAAUAAAAUGACAAAAACAUUAAAGAUAUAUUCCGGCGUAAAAUUAAGUUAGGGUCAAACACACCGUAGCACUGAGUUAGACACCCCCUUGAGAGAUGAAUGUUACAGACCACUUGCUUCUCUAGUCGUACCAACUUUUGUAAUGACCGCACGAUAGCAAUACACAGCAGUCUCAGGAGCCACGUGCUUAACCAAAACUCCACUCUAUAGCCACAAAUAAUGCUCAGAACAGCACCUAACUUCAUCAACAGUACAUACAGGGUCCCAGCUAUAGUACUAGCCACCAAGCAUCUUUUUAGCUUUGCCUGAUUUCUUUAGCAAAGAGACUAAACACAACUCACCUACUCUCGUCCAGCAGCCGCUUGUUUGUACAGACACCUCAGGCCAGUCCAUUACGGACUACAGCGAGGUGACGCAGCUUAAGGAAGAACAUUUAUGAUCAUUUCUUCAUGGAAAUGCAAAUAGACCGAGACACUUAUGUAGAAGAACUACCGCGUCUGCAGUGCAAAAUGAUUAAUAUGGUGAUUACUACUUCAAGGAAAUGAUAAAGUAAUGAUCAUAAAUGUUCUUCCUUGAGCUGCGUCUCCCCACUGCACUCGGUAAUAGACUGUUCUUAGCAUUAUUUGUGGCUAUAGAGUGGCUUUUUGGUUGAAAGCAUUGCUCCUGAGACUGCUGUGUAUUGCUAUGGUACGGUCAUUACUAAAGCUGGUAUAACUAGAGAUGCAAGCAGUUGGCAACAUUCAUCUCUUGAAGGGGUGUCUAACUUAGUGUUAUGGUGUGUUUGACCUUAACUUAAUUUUACGCCGGAAUAUCCCUUUAAGAGCAACUCUUGGAAAACAGAGUUAAUUGUAAAAACACCUGUCAAUACCCAAGAUGGUACAACAAUUACACUGAGGCAGCUGCCACUGACCUUUACAUGCAAACAGACUCAGCCUUUAAUGAACACAAGACCAAAGCUCACAGACAAAGUACUUUGAGGUCUUUGGGCGUGCAGUUUGUGGUGACUUUGCUUAUGAAGUUGAGAGUAAUUAUUACCAUGUUUCAGCCUCUUGACACAGAGGAUUUGAAGGUCAGUGAAGGAGCAAGAGAAAAUCCACCUCAUGGCCCAAAAAGACAGCUUGCUCACAAUCUGGCUUUUCUCUCUCUCUCCAUUUGAAGCAAACUCCUCUGCAAGUCCCAGUGAGUUCUCUACAAAAAUUGAUACAGCAAUUUUGUAAAAGAAAUAAACUAUCGCAGGCAGUCCUGGACAAUGAAGUCAGAGCAGUACUCUAGAAAUAUGCUAAUGUGGAUGAAAGAUUACUAGUGCGGUUUCAAAGGCAAGUAAUUUGCCAACAUCCUUUUCUAGCAAAUGUGGAUCAUAAAGAACAUUUGAUAUGAAUAUUUCUUCUAUAGGAAAUGCUGAACACAGAAUAUUAAGAAACAAAAGGGGCAUUUCAGAAAGAACUCUAUCAGAUAAAGUGUAUACGGUUACCUAUUGAGCUGUAGCCAAUUUUUCAGUCCAGUAAUUGUGAUGACACUGAUUGGUCGAGGACAUCCCAAAGAUGUUGUGUGUGUGCGCUCCAUGAAGACGAAUCCAAACCUGGGUCUGUAAUUAUUGCAUCAAUGGUCUGCAUCAAAGAAAUCAGGUACAACACAGAUAUGAUUCUGUGUUGAUUGAUGCUCCAGUUGAAAUGAUCAGAUUGCACACAGAGUUGAAGUGUAACCAGCGUGCAAAACAUUCCCUGGCAGGAUGAUACGAAGAGCAUUUUAGAUUCUGGGGACUUUCAUGCACUGAUGCUCCUUCUGUGUGUGCUUUUAAGUUGUCAAAGGUAAAUGGCGUUUCCCCAAUAUCAGUAUGCAAAGUACAAGCUGUUUUUAUGGCAUUUGCAAAAGCUGCCAAUAUGAAUCUUUACUUUUUUUUCUCCAUGGAUGACUACACAAGAGAAGAUUACCAUCAAGGUUAUUGUCUUCGCUCUCAGCUAAAGAUUUAAUUGGCUGAUGGGAGAUGCAGAAAGUAGUAUUUGACAAAUUUUACAGGGAUGUGGAUCAACUUCUUCAAAGCAAACGGACUGUAGCUUGGUGAUUGAACUUACCUGAAAUAAAAGAGGCAGGACUCAAGAGGUCAGACACAAUAUUCUUAAAAACUUAGUUUCCUUAGUUGAAAGUGGUUCAUAAACAUCACCAAGAAACGUUUUCAAAGGGAUAACUUGUUUUUUGUGUGUAGUUGUAUGAUGUACUUGGCAAUUAUAAUUAUGUUAGCUACAAGGGAAGCUGGUAGGCUGGUUGUCAGAACCUUUCACUUCAUUUUCGGUUUUCAUCAAAACGGUCAUUUUCCUAUUACCAGACUUUUCUGCAGGAGUGCAUCACUGUGGCAGCAAACAGUACUUAUGCUGAGGUUCACUGAGGUUGGGAGAACAAGUCGGCCAGCUUUAAAAAUCUCUAAGGGAUGUUUGGGAGCUGAAAGUGUUGAUUCUUGCUAAGCUACAUGAUGUGGAUCACUAAAUUAACUGGAGUCCCAUCAUAAGCAUUUUUACUGGGGUUUCUUAUACUUGAGAAAGGGGAAGGAUGCAAGCCCUGGUCUUAAAUACUGAGAUUGAUGGCGGAUUAUUUAGAUUUAAAGUUAUCAUAAUGGACAUAAUGUGUUUGGAUUACAUCUUGAACUUGACUUUGAUUUUGGGGAGUCUUCGUUGUAGCGAAUAGGGAGGAAAUCGGCGAGUUUUAGCCAAUUACCGAUUAGUCCCAAAUGGGCUAAAAUUGGCCGAUUUAAUGGGCUCUAAUCUCCUCAACCACAUGCUGUAUAACAGCAUUUGUAAGGUGUUCGUUAUUUUCAUUGUUGUAUUUGUUAACUUGUACAGAAGUCUAAUCAACUCAAAGCUGUCUGCUGGCACCGGCAUGCACUGCUCCACGACUCUGAUCUGGAGGAGGCAGCAGCUUCAUCUCGAUAGCUGACUAACUUGCAAAAUGUAACCCCAGAUUGAACGUGUUUCAAAGGGAUCUUUUUGGUGCAGAUUGCACAAUGUCCCUUAUCUGAAUUUGCAGUAGCCCAUAAGCUUGUUAGGUGAUAUUUUAUGGUUGACCCCCUGCUAUUGAAAAGUAUCUCAUGCAACCCCAUGAGGACCUGGUUUGUGUCGUUGAAUGAGAAAAAGCUUUAACUUGAAGAUGGGGAAUUAAAAACCUAAAAUGCUCUAGUCAGGUUUGGUCACUGUCAAUGGGGGUAUAGAUUUUUUUUGGAUGCGAAAAUGGAGGGCUUCGACCUUUGAACAGAUUGAGAAGUCAUAGCGAAUGAACUGAUGGUGGUGGAAAAUACUCUCAUUAACAGAAAGCAAUGCCUUUAGAAGCAGCAUUAAAUGAAAGGUGUCACAUUUGCCAGGUGGUCCAAUGUUGGCCAGCUUUUUUGUAGAAUGCCAAGUUUGUGAAGUGGUGGACUAUUAAAUACCUUGGGUAUAAUACAAAAUGUGGGACACUGAGUUUGCAAAGAAUAUGUAUUGUAGUGUCAUUUAAAACAACCUUGUCUGCAAAGAUAAAGAAUUUUAACUUUGACUCAAUGGGUUUUAAUGAACAAAAAAUAAAUAAAAACAGUAAAAGAAGUUAAUUGAAAUGACAACAUAAAAAACAAGAUGAGAAUAGAGAUCUGUAUUCGUCAUCUAAGGCUGCCAAACAUGCAGCAGCCUUGCUGACAGGUCUUUAAAUGGUACAGAAACAGAAAGGUAAACUUAAGUGAGGCAGACAGAGAACAGAUGUAACAGCAGGCAGCUGUGAAGUCAUUGAUUGACAUAUCCUAACACUUUGCCAUUGUCAGGAAGGGCUUACUUUCCAAGUUAAAUAGGUUACCUUACAGAAAAGGGAAACCUGGCAGGGCUGGUUUUGCUAUCUCCAGAUCCCCGUCUGCUUAAAUCUGUGUGAAUAUAGAGACUACAAUGCAGCACCGGAGAGGACAGAGUGUGCUGGCUUGUAACCCAUGACAAA